GAUGAACGCUAGCGGGAGGCCUAACACAUGCAAGCCGAGCGGUAUUUGUCUUUCGGGACAGAGAGAGCGGCGUACGGGUGCGGAACACGUGUGCAACCUGCCUUUAUCAGGGGGAUAGCCUUUCGAAAGGAAGAUUAAUACCCCAUAAUAUAUUAGAUGGCAUCACUUGAUAUUGAAAACUCCGGUGGAUAGAGAUGGGCACGCGCAAGAUUAGAUAGUUGGUAGGGUAACGGCCUACCAAGUCAGUGAUCUUUAGGGGGCCUGAGAGGGUGAUCCCCCACACUGGUACUGAGACACGGACCAGACUCCUACGGGAGGCAGCAGUGAGGAAUAUUGGACACUGGGUUAGCGCCUGAUCCAGCCAUCCCGCGUGAAGGACGACUGCCCUAUGGGUUGUAAACUUCUUUUGUACAGGGAUAAACCUUUCCACGUGUGGAAAGCUGAAGGUACUGUACGAAUAAGCACCGGCUAACUCCGUGCCAGCCGCCGCGGUAA
rnacentral:rRNA from 1 species